UGUCUACUAAUUAUAGACCUGUAUGAAAGGCAAAAUGAGGGUCUAACUGUCUCUUAUAAUAAAUCAAUUAAACUGAUCUCCUAGUAAAAAAGCUAGGAUAAUAACAUAAGACCAGAAGACCCUGUGAAGCUUAAACUAAACUAUUAACCCAAAUAAUAACUACUUUCGGUUGGGGCGACCUUGGAAUAAAAAAGAACUUCCAAUCAAAUUACUAUAAUUUAACCCAGGCCAACAAGCCAACUAACGACCCAGUAUAACUGACAAAUGAACCAAGUUACUCCAGGGAUAACAGCGCAAUCUUCUUCAAGAGCCCAUAUCAAAAAGAAGGUUUACGACCUCGAUGUUGGAUCAGGACAUCCUAAUGGUGCAGCCGCUAUUAAGGGUUCGUUUUUUCAACGAUUAAUAGU
rnacentral:rRNA from 1 species